rnacentral:rRNA from 1 species
CCCUUAGAUGUCCUGGGCCGCACGCGCGCUACACUGACAUGUUCAACAAGCCUCCUAGUUCGACAGGAUUUGGGAAAUCUUUGAACGCAUGUCGUGAUAGGGAUAGAUCAUUGCAAUUAUUGAUCUUGAACGAGGAAUUCCUAGUAAACGCGAGUCAUCAGCUCGCAUUGAUUACGUCCCUGCCCUUUGUACACACCGCCCGUCGCACCUACCGAUUGAAUGUUUCGGUGAAGAUUCCGGAUAUGACUUUUUUGAUUUAUUUCAAUUUUGUCUUAAAAGCUAUCUAAACCUCAACAUUUAGAGGAAGGUGAAGUCGUAACA